rnacentral:rRNA from 1 species
AUUGAACGCUGGCGGCAGGCCUAACACCUGCAAGUCGAGCGGAUGACGGGAGCUUGCUCCUUGAUUCAGCGGCGGACGGGUGAGUAAUGCCUAGGAAUCUGCCUGGUAGUGGGGGACAACGUUUCGAAAGGAACGCUAAUACCGCAUACGUCCUACGGGAGAAAGCAGGGGACCUUCGGGCCUUGCGCUAUCAGAUGAGCCUAGGUCGGAUUAGCUAGUAGGUGAGGUAAUGGCUCACCUAGGCGACGAUCCGUAACCGGUCUGAGAGGAUGAUCAGUCACACUGGAACUGAGAAACGUUCCAGACUACUACGGGAGGCAGCAGUGGGGAAUAUUGGACAAUGGGCGAAAGCCUGAUCCAGCAAUGCCUCGUAUGUGAAGAAGGUCUUCGGAUUGUAAAGCACUUUAAGUUGGGAGGAUGGGCAGUAAGCUAAUACCUGGCUGUUUUGACGUUACCGACAGAAUAAGCACCGGCCAACUAUGUGCCAGCAGCUGCCGUAAAAC